rnacentral:rRNA from 1 species
UACAGAGGAGCCAAGCGUUGUCCGGAUUGACUGGGCGUAAAGCGCACGCAGGCGGGGGUGCGCGUGGGGUGUGAAAUCUGGCCGCUUAACGGCCAGGCGCCAUCCCAUACGGCACGCCUGGAGCCUUGCAGAGGUCGGUGGAAUUGCCGGUGUAGUGGUGAAAUGCGUAGAGAUCGGCAGGAACACCCAGGGGGAAACCAGCCGACUGGGCAUUGACUGACGCUGAGGUGCGAGAGCGUGGGGAGCGAACCGG